rnacentral:rRNA from 1 species
ACUACGAGUUUGAUCAUGGCUCAGAUUGAACGCUGGCGGCAUGCUUUACACAUGCAAGUCGAACGGUAACAGGCCUUCGGGCGCUGACGAGUGGCGAACGGGUGAGUAACGCAUCGGAACGUGCCCAGUCGUGGGGGAUAACGCAGCGAAAGCUGUGCUAAUACCGCAUACGAUCUGCGGAUGAAAGCGGGGGACCUUCGGGCCUCGCGCGAUUGGAGCGGCCGAUGUCAGAUUAGGUAGUUGGUGGGGUAAAGGCCCACCAAGCCAACGAUCUGUAGCUGGUCUGAGAGGACGACCAGCCACACUGGGACUGAGACACGGCCCAGACUCCUACGGGAGGCAGCAGUGGGGAAUUUUGGACAAUGGGCGCAAGCCUGAUCCAGCAAUGCCGCGUGCAGGAAGAAGGCCUUCGGGUUGUAAACUGCUUUUGUACGGAACGAAAAAGUCCGGGUUAAUACCCUGGGCCCAUGACGGUACCGUAAGAAUAAGCACCGGCUAACUACGUG